GACGAACGCUGGCGGCGGGCUUAACACAUGCAAGUCGAACGGAAAGGCCCUGCUUGUGUGGGGUGCUCGAGUGGCGAACGGGUGUGUAACACAUGAGUAACCUUCGCUUUACUGUGUGAUAACUUCAGGAAACUGGUGCUAAUACCGGAGAGGUGCGCCUGCUGCAGGGUGGUGGUUGGAAAGUUUAGGCGGUUGGGGGUGGACUCGCGGCUUAUCAGCUUGUUGGUUGGGUAGUGGCUUACCAAGGCUUUGACGGGUAGCCGGCCUGAGAGGGUGACCGGCCACCUUGGGACUGAGGUACGGCCCAGAGUCCUACGGGAGGCAGAAGUGGGGAAUAUUGCACAGUGGGCGGAAGCCUGAUGCAGAAACGCCGCGUGCGGGAUGACGGCCUUCGGGUUGUAAAGCGCUUUCGCUUGUGACGAAGCGUGAGUGACGGUACUGGGUAAAGAAGCACCGGCUAACUACGUG
rnacentral:rRNA from 1 species